rnacentral:rRNA from 1 species
GGUUAAGCGAACAAGCGUACACGGUGGAUGCCCUGGCAGUCAGAGGCGAUGAAGGACGUGCUAAUCUGCGAAAAGCGCCGGUAAGGUGAUAUGAACCGUUAUAACCGGCGAUGUCCGAAUGGGGAAACCCGGUGCACUUCGGUGCAUCAUCGUUAGCUGAAUACAUAGGCUAACGAAGCGAACCGGGGGAACUGAAACAUCUAAGUACCCCGAGGAAAAGAAAUCAACCGAGAUUCCCCCAGUAGCGGCGAGCGAACGGGGAACAGCCCAGAGCCUGAAUCAGCUUGUGUGUCAGUGGAACGGUCUGGAAAGGCCGGCGAUACAGGGUGACAGCCCCGUACACGAAGGCACACAGGCUGUGAGCUCGAUGAGUAGGGCGGGACACGUGAUAUCCUGUCUGAAGAUGGGGGGACCAUCCUCCAAGGCUAAAUACUCCUGACUGACCGAUAGUGAACCAGUACCGUGAGGGAAAGGCGAAAAGAACCCCGGCGAGGGGAGUGAAACAGAACCUGAAACCGUGUACGUACAAGCAGUGGGAGCCUUCGUAAGAGGGUGACUGCGUACCUUUUGUAUAAUGGGUCAGCGACUUAUAUUCUGUAGCAAGGUUAACCGUAUAGGGGAGCCGAAGGGAAACCGAGUCUUAACCGGGCGUUAAGUUGCAGGGUAUAGACCCGAAACCCGGUGAUCUAGCCAUGGGCAGGUUGAAGGUUGGGUAACACUAACUGGAGGACCGAACCGACUAAUGUUGAAAAAUUAGCGGAUGACCUGUGGCUGGGGGUGAAAGGCCAAUCAAACCGGGAGAUAGCUGGUUCUCCCCGAAAGCUAUUUAGGUAGCGCCUCGUGAACUCAUCUCCGGGGGUAGAGCACUGUUUCGGCUAGGGGGCCAUCCCGGCUUACCAACCCGAUGCAAACUGCGAAUACCGGAGAAUGUUAUCACGGGAGACACACGGCGGGUGCUAACGUCCGUCGUGAAGAGGGAAACAACCCAGACCGCCAGCUAAGGUCCCAAAGUCAUGGUUAAGUGGGAAACGAUGUGGGAAGGCCCAGACAGCCAGGAUGUUGGCUUAGAAGCAGCCAUCAUUUAAAGAAAGCGUAAUAGCUCACUGGUCGAGUCGGCCUGCGCGGAAGAUGUAACGGGGCUAAACCAUGCACCGAAGCUGCGGCAGCGACGCUUAUGCGUUGUUGGGUAGGGGAGCGUUCUGUAAGCCUGCGAAGGUGUGCUGUGAGGCAUGCUGGAGGUAUCAGAAGUGCGAAUGCUGACAUAAGUAACGAUAAAGCGGGUGAAAAGCCCGCUCGCCGGAAGACCAAGGGUUCCUGUCCAACGUUAAUCGGGGCAGGGUGAGUCGACCCCUAAGGCGAGGCCGAAAGGCGUAGUCGAUGGGAAACAGGUUAAUAUUCCUGUACUUGGUGUUACUGCGAAGGGGGGACGGAGAAGGCUAUGUCGGCCGGGCGACGGUCGUCCCGGUUUAAGCGUGUAGGCUGACUUUCCAGGCAAAUCCGGAAAGUUAAGGCUGAGGCGUGAUGACGAGGCACUACGGUGCUGAAGUGACAAAUGCCCUGCUUCCAGGAAAAGCCUCUAAGCAUCAGGUAACAUCAAAUCGUACCCCAAACCGACACAGGUGGUCAGGUAGAGAAUACCAAGGCGCUUGAGAGAACUCGGGUGAAGGAACUAGGCAAAAUGGUGCCGUAACUUCGGGAGAAGGCACGCUGACAUGUAGGUGAAGCCCCUGCGGGUGGAGCUGAAGUCAGUCGAAGAUACCAGCUGGCUGCAACUGUUUAUUAAAAACACAGCACUGUGCAAACACGAAAGUGGACGUAUACGGUGUGACGCCUGCCCGGUGCCGGAAGGUUAAUUGAUGGGGUUAUCGCAAGAGAAGCUCCUGAUCGAAGCCCCGGUAAACGGCGGCCGUAACUAUAACGGUCCUAAGGUAGCGAAAUUCCUUGUCGGGUAAGUUCCGACCUGCACGAAUGGCGUAAUGAUGGCCAGGCUGUCUCCACCCGAGACUCAGUGAAAUUGAACUCGCUGUGAAGAUGCAGUGUACCCGCGGCAAGACGGAAAGACCCCGUGAACCUUUACUACAGCUUGACACUGAACAUUGAGCCUUGAUGUGUAGGAUAGGUGGGAGGCUUUGAAGCGUGGACGCCAGUCUGCGUGGAGCCGACCUUGAAAUACCACCCUUUAAUGUUUGAUGUUCUAACCUGGCGCCGUGAUCCGGCGUGGGGACAGUGUCUGGUGGGUAGUUUGACUGGGGCGGUCUCCUCCCAAAGUGUAACGGAGGAGCACGAAGGUCAGCUAAUCCUGGUCGGACAUCAGGAGGUUAGUGCAAUGGCAUAAGCUGGCUUGACUGCGAGAGUGACGGCUCGAGCAGGUGCGAAAGCAGGUCAUAGUGAUCCGGUGGUUCUGUAUGGAAGGGCCAUCGCUCAACGGAUAAAAGGUACUCCGGGGAUAACAGGCUGAUACCGCCCAAGAGUUCAUAUCGACGGCGGUGUUUGGCACCUCGAUGUCGGCUCAUCACAUCCUGGGGCUGAAGUAGGUCCCAAGGGUAUGGCUGUUCGCCAUUUAAAGUGGUACGCGAGCUGGGUUUAGAACGUCGUGAGACAGUUCGGUCCCUAUCUGCCGUGGGCGCUGGAGAAUUGAGGGGGGCUGCUCCCAGUACGAGAGGACCGGAGUGGACGCAUCACUGGUGUUCGGGUUGUCAUGCCAAUGGCACUGCCCGGUAGCUAAAUGCGGAAGAGAUAAGUGCUGAAAGCAUCUAAGCACGAAACUUGCCCCGAGAUGAGUUCUCCCUGAGACUAUAAGUCUCCUGAAGGAACGUUGAAGACGACGACGUUGAUAGGCCGGGUGUGUAAGCGCAGCGAUGCGUUGAGCUAACCGGUACUAAUGAACCGUGAGGCUUAACCUU